GGCUUAGUAGUUCAAUGGAUAGAAUAUCAGAUUUCGGCUCUGAGGGUUGGGGGUUCGAGUCCUCCCUAGGUCA
rnacentral:tRNA from 1 species